GAUGAACGCUGGCGGCGUGCCUAAUACAUGCAAGUCGAGCGAACGGACGAGAAGCUUGCUUCUCUGAUGUUAGCGGCGGACGGGUGAGUAACACGUCGAUAACCCACCUAUAAGACUGGGAUAACUUCGUGAAACCGGAGCUAAUUACGGAUAAUCUUUUCAACAGCAUGGUUCAAAAGUGAAAGACGGUCUUGCUGUCACUUAUCGCUGGAUCCGCGCUGCAUUAGCUAGUUGGUAAGGUAACGGCUUACCUAGGCAACGAUGCAUAGCCGACCUGAGAGGGUGAUCGGCCACACUGGAACUGAGACACGGUCCAGACUCCUACGGGAGGCAGCAGUAGGGAAUCUUGCGCAAUGGGCGAAAGCCUGACGGAGCAACGCCGCGUGAGUGAUGAAGGUCUUCGGGUCGUAAAACUCUGUUAUUGGGGAAGAACAUAUGUGUAAGUAACUGUGCACAUCUUGACGGUACCUAAUCAGAAAGCCACGGCUAACUACGUG
rnacentral:rRNA from 1 species